rnacentral:rRNA from 1 species
GACGAACGCUGGCGGCGUGCUUAACAUAUGCAAGUCGAACGGUAAGGCCCUUCGGGGUACACGAGUGGCGAACGGGUGAGUAACACGUGGGUGAUCUGCCCUGCACUUCGGGAUAAGCCUGGGAAACUGGGUCUAAUACCGGAUAGGACCACUGCCUGCAUGGGUGGUGGUGGAAAGCUUUUGCGGUGUGGGAUGGGCCCGCGGCCUAUCAGCUUGUUGGUGGGGUGAUGGCCUACCAAGGCGACGACGGGUAGCCGGCCUGAGAGGGUGACCGGCCACACUGGGACUGAGAUACGGCCCAGACUCCUACGGGAGGCGGCAGUGGGGAAUAUUGCACAAUGGGCGCAAGCCUGAUGCAGCGACGCCGCGUGAGGGAUGACGGCCUUCGGGUUGUAAACCUCUUUCAGCACCGACGAAGCGCAAGUGACGGUAGGUGCAGAAGAAGGACCGGCCAACUACGUGCCAGCCGCCGCAGUAA